rnacentral:rRNA from 1 species
UCCGUAGGUGAACCUGCGGAGGGAUCAUUACAGAGUUGCAAAACUCCAACAAACCAUCGCGAAUCUUACCCGUACGGUUGCCUCGGCGCUGGCGGUCCGGAAGGCCCUCGGGCCCCCCGGAUCCUCGGGUCUCCCGCUCGCGGGAGGCUGCCCGCCGGAGUGCCGAAACCAAACUCUUGAUAUUUUAUGUCUCUCUGAGUAAACUUUUAAAUAAGUCAAAACUUUCAACAACGGAUCUCUUGGUUCUGGCAUCGAUGAAGAACGCAGCGAAAUGCGAUAAGUAAUGUGAAUUGCAGAAUUCAGUGAAUCAUCGAAUCUUUGAACGCACAUUGCGCUCGCCAGUAUUCUGGCGAGCAUGCCUGUUCGAGCGUCAUUUCAACCAUCAAGCUCUGCUUGCGUUGGGGAUCCGCGUCUGACGCGGUCCCUCAAAAACAGUGGCGGGCUCGCUAGUCACACCGAGCGUAGUAACUCUACAUCGCUAUGGUCGUGCGGCGGGUUCUUGCCGUAAAACCCCCAAUUUCUAAGGUUGACCUCGGAUCAGGUAGGAAUACCCGCUGAACUUAAGCAUAUCAAUAAGCGGAGGA